GCAAACUUGGUCAUUUAGAGGAAGUAAAAGUCGUAACAAGGUUUCCGUAGGUGAACCUGCGGAAGGAUCAUUAACGAGUUAGGGUCUUCUAGGCCCGACCUCCCAACCCUUUGCUUACUUGACCAUUGUUGCUUCGGCGAGCCCGUCUUUACUGACCGCCGGAGGACCGUAGAACGUCCUCUGGUCCGUGCUCGUCGGUGGCCAACUCUAAAUUCUUAACUAAACGUGUCAUUAUCUAAGUACUAUUGUUAAUAAAAGCAAAACUUUCAACAACGGAUCUCUUGGUUCUGGCAUCGAUGAAGAACGCAGC
rnacentral:misc_RNA from 1 species